CCUAUGGGGUGCAGCAGGCGCGAAAACUUCGCAAUGGGGGCAACCCCGACGAGGGAAUUCCAAGUGCUAGCACUUUGUGUUAGCUGUUCUUCUGUCUAAAAAACAGGAGGAGUAAGGGGCGGGUAAGACGGGUGCCAGCCGCCGCGGUAAUACCCGCGCCCCAAGUGGUGGUCGAUAUUAUUGAGCCUAAAACGUCCGUAGCCGGUCUUCUAAAUCCUUGGGUAAAUCGGGCAGCUUAACUGUCCGAAGUCCGGGGAGACUGGGAGACUUGGGACCGGGAGAGGUCAGAGGUACUUCUGGGGUAGGGGUAAAAUCCUGUAAUCCUGGAAGGACCACCGGUGGCGAAGGCGUCUGACUAGAACGGAUCCGACGGUGAGGGACGAAGCCCUGGGGCGCAAACGGGAUUAGAUACCCGCGUAGUCC
rnacentral:rRNA from 1 species